UACGAAGGGGGCUAGCGUUACUCGGAAUUACUGGGCGUAAAGGGCGCGUAGGCGGCGCUCCAAGUUAGGCGUGAAAGUCCUGGGCUCAACCUGGGAACUGCGCUUGAUACUGGAGUGCUUGAGGAUGGAAGAGGGUCGUGGAAUUCCCAGUGUAGAGGUGAAAUUCGUAGAUAUUGGGAAGAACACCGGUGGCGAAGGCGGCGACCUGGUCCAUUACUGACGCUGAGGCGCGACAGCGUGGGGGAGCAAACAGG
rnacentral:rRNA from 1 species